CUCGGCGAUAUUAGUUGAAUACACCAGUUCCUACUGGAUCACUGAUGUUAAUCAACUUUGCGCGUGGUUGGUAUCCAGAUGGGUGACUAUUUGGGCAAUCGCGCCCUGCUGACU
rfam:Asian citrus Psyllid, Diaphorina citri - Florida Strain, whole genome shotgun sequence.